rnacentral:misc_RNA from 1 species
GAUGAAGAACGUAGCGAAAUGCGAUAAGUAAUGUGAAUUGCAGAAUUCAGUGAAUCAUCGAAUCUUUGAACGCACAUUGCGCCCCCUGGUAUUCCGGGGGGCAUGCCUGUUCGAGCGUCAUUUCAACCCUCAAGCUCUGCUUGGUAUUGAGUCCAUGUCAGCAAUGGCAGGCUCCAAAAUCAGUGGCGGCGCCGCUGGGUCCUGAACGUAGUAAUAUCUCUCGUUACAGGUGCUCGGCGUGCUUCUGCCAAAACCCCAAUUUUUCUAUGGUUGACCUCGGAUAAGGUAGGGAUACCCGCUGAACUUAAGCAUAUCAAUAAGCGGAGGA